ACACACUCGAACUCUACAAUUUGCGAAAGUUCAGUGUAUUACAGUAACUGUAAGCGGAAAGGUUCAUUCUUCACCACCAUUCUGGAUUGCCGUGAUAUACUGCUAGGUGUCACUUACGGACGGUGAGAGAAUAUGAAUAAUUCGAAUUGAAUUGUUCUUAUUUAUCGAUUAGAAGAGUUCUAAUUAAACAUCAAAGAGUUUGAUGUUGAGCUCCUCUGCCGAAUGGUAAUGAACUUAUGCGGUCACACACAUUAGGAAUUGUGUGCACCCGAAUCGUUUGGAUGAGAGUCGUUCACUAAAGAGUUUAGUGUAAGCGAUGAAAAUAAAAGAAAGCUGCUUAAUUAAAUUAGAUUUAAUUAUUCGAUUCGGUUAUAACUGAUAGUCCUAAUUAGUUAGGAUCUCAGAAUCAGUUAGAGAAUUAU
rnacentral:lncRNA from 1 species